rnacentral:lncRNA from 1 species
AGUGCAGGACUCUCAAGCAGCUCUGCUUUGGUUUGCUGCUCAGGACUAGCCUCUAUGAAAGCUAAUAAUAUAGUGUUAGAUAAGCUUUCACUGGCUGAAUCAUGCACUCGUUGUGAGAAAUAUGUUGGUACAGAAAGUGGAGGAAUGGAUCAAGCCAUAUCUUUUCUUGCAAAAUCAGGCACUGCUAAAUUAAUCGAAUUCAAUCCUUUAAAAGCGACUGAUGUACAACUGCCUGAUGGUGCCACAUUUGUUAUUGCCAACUCAUUA